GCGUUGGCCAAUGGAUUGGGGGGGGGGGGAUUACAAGGAAUCCCACGGCCCCAAAACUAUUAAUCAGAAAAGGGGGGAGAGAGCGGAAAAAAGAAAAGGGGGACAAGGAUAGAAACUAUGAAUCUUUGAGAGAAGUCGAAGGAAAUAUGGAAGACACCAGGAGAAGCAAAGAGAAAAUAAGGAAUUAAAAUGUCUACUAGAAACUGAGAGAAAAGUUGUACAACCAUGUCGUUUGAACCAUAACAGAAAUGUGAUUGCUUUUGUCGACCGCAGCAUAGGUUUUACUUUCACACACGGCAGCCACCGCCAUCUCCGAUUCCGUCUUCGACUCCUCAGAAAAUAAGUCGAUCAGAUUCAGGAACUAAAUGACAGCUCUUUCUGGAACUAAAAGUGAUCUAAUUGAGAAUGAUGUCUCACUCUUUCUGUGGGUUGUUUUGGAAGUGUUGGCAUUGUAAUGCUGCGGUUUGUUGCUCUUUUGUUGAAUGAGUAGGUUUUACUAGUCUCGUAUGGGAAUUGCUUCGUGUGACUUGAGUUGGAAAUGUUGCUUUUGCUAUCCUGGUUGUUGUUCUUUUGUCAAAUGACUACCAACUGCGUCCAAGGAUUAGGAACAAUUUGUGUCUUUACAUUGCUACUAGUGUUGUCCUAGCCAGGAAGCACUGUUAAUAGACUCUUGAAUAGUUGAUCAUGUUCAUACUA